GGGUGAGUAAUACGUGGGUAAUCUGCCUCAAAGUGGGGGAUAACCAAUCGAAAGAUUGGCUAAUACCGCAUAAGACCACAGGAGCUGAGGCUCUAGGGGUAAAGGGUUUUUCGCUUUGAGAUGAGCCCGCGCGGGAUUAGCUAGUUGGUAAGGUAACGGCUUACCAAGGCUACGAUCUCUAGCUGGUCUGAGAGGAUGAUCAGCCACACUGGAACUGAGAUACGGUCCAGACUCCUACGGGAGGCAGCAGUGGGGAAUCUUGCGCAAUGGGAGAAAUCCUGACGCAGCGACGCCGCGUGGAGGAUGAAGGCUUUCGGGUCGUAAACUCCUGUCGAAGGGAAAGAAACGUCCUGUGGCAAAUAACCGCAGGGCCUGACGGUACCCUUAGAGGAAGCCCCGGCUAACUACGUGCCAGCAGCCGCGGUAAUACGUAGGGGGCGAGCGUUGUUCGGAAUUACUGGGCGUAAAGGGCGUGUAGGCGGCCCGGCAAGUUGGAUGUGUAAUCCUGCGGCUCAACCGCAGAACUGCAUCCAAAACUGCCAGGCUAGAGUGCGGGAGAGGAGAGUGGAAUUCCCAGUGUAGCGGUGAAAUGCGUAGAUAUUGGGAGGAACACCGGUGGCGAAGGCGGCUCUCUGGAACGUAACUGACGCUAAGGCGCGAAAGCUGGGGGAGCAAACGGGAUUAGAUACCCCGGUAGUCCCAGCCGUAAACGAUGGGCACUAGGUGUGAGAGGAUAUCGAUCCCUCUCGUGCCGGAGCUAACGCAGUAAGUGCCCCGCCUGGGGAGUACGGUCGCAAGACUGAAACUCAAAGGAAUUGACGGGGGCCCGCACAAGCGGUGGAGCAUGUGGUUUAAUUCGACGCAACGCGAAGAACCUUACCCGGGUUUGACAUGCACUGGACCGCCAUGGAAACAUGGCUUCCCCGCAAGGGGCCGGUGCACAGGUGCUGCAUGGCUGUCGUCAGCUCGUGCCGUGAGGUGUUGGGUUAAGUCCCGCAACGAGCGCAACCCUUACCCUUAGUUGCCUCCAGGUCACGCUGGGCACUCUAGGGGAACUGCCGCUAUUAAAGCGGAGGAAGGUGGGGAUGACGUCAAGUCAUCAUGGCCCUUAUAUCCGGGGCCACACACGUGCUACAAUGGCCGAUACAAAGGGGGGCUAACCCGCGAGGGGGAGCAAAUCCCAAAAAGUCGGUCUCAGUUCGGAUUGGAGUCUGCAACUCGACUCCAUGAAGGCGGAAUCGCUAGUAAUCGCGGAUCAGCACGCCGCGGUGAAU
rnacentral:rRNA from 1 species